ensembl:lncRNA
ACAAAAAUGAUCUAAGGAUGGAACAUCUCCCCUGUGAGGGCAGGCUGAGAGAGCUGGGGCUGUUCAGCCUGGAGAAGGCUCCAGGGAGACCUAAUAGCAGCCUUUCAGGAUCUAAAGGGGAAGCUGUAAGAAAGAAGUGGACAGACUCUUUAGCAAAGUCUGUGGUGACAGAACAAAGGGAAAUGGUUUCAAAUGAAAAGAGGGGAGAUUUAGAUUGGAUAUAAGGAAGAAGUUUUUUUUUUUUUACAAUAAGAGAGGUGAGGAGCAAGGAAAAAGAGCAACAAAAAAGGUGAAAGGACUAGAGGGAACGAUGUAGGAGGAUCAGCCUGCAUUCAGUUUGUUCAGCCCAGAGCAGAGCAGCUGAGGGGAGGCCUCAUGGUGGCUGCAGCUCCUCACAGGGCAUGGAGGGGCAGUGCUGAGCUCUGCUCUGUGGCGACAGCGGUAGGGCCCGAGGGAGCAGCAUGGAGCUGUGUCAGGGAAGGGUCAGGUCGGGAACUAGGAACUGGUUCUCCACUGAGAGGGUGGUCUGGCACUGCAACAGGCUCCCCAGGGAAGCGGUCAUGGCACCAAGCCUGCUGGAGCUCAAGAAGCAUUUGGACAGCACUCUCAGACAUAUGGUUUAACUUUUAGGUAGUCUUGUGUGGAGCCAGGAAUUGGACUUGAUGAUCCUUGUGGGUCCCUUCCAACUUGGGAUCUUUUGUGACUCUGUGAUUCACAAACUGCAGUCAGUGUUUUCAGGGUAACAAGGAGGGUAGAAAAGGGGAGUAAAGUAAGAAUUUUAAGGAAAAGGAUGGUGAAAAUAUCAAGUAGGCGAAGCCCAAGCACAGUAGCAUAAGCACAGAAAUCAACUGAGGAAUAACAAUUAUUUGGAGCUCCUUUAUGACCUGUAACAUUUAGGAUCAAAACUGUCUUUACUUUCCUGGGGUGGAGAGUAACAAUUGUGCCUAGAAAGUCACAUAACUUACCUCUGUGAAUCAUAGAAUUACUCAGGUUGGAAAGGACCUCAGAGAUCAUCAAGUCCAACCGCAGCCUAACCAUAGUACCCUAACUCUAACAACCCCCUGCUGAAUCAUAUCUCUGAGCAUCACAUCCAAACGGCUCUUAAACACAUCCAGGAAUGGUGACUCAACCACCUCCCUGGGGAGCCUAUUCCAGUGUUUAACCACCCUUUCUGUAAAGAAGUGUUUCCUAACGUCCAGCCUAAACUUACCUUGGAGCAACUUGAGGCCAUUUCCCCUUGUCUUGUCACCUGUCACCAGUGAGGAGAGACCUACCCCGCUCUCACUGUAAGCACCUUUCAGGUACUUGAAGAGAGUAAUCAGGUCUCCCCUCAGCCUCCUUUUCCCCAGACUAAACAGCCCCAGCUCCAUCAGCCUCUCCUCAUAGGGCUGAUUUUCCAAGCCCUUCACUAGUCUCAUUGCCUUUCUCUGGACCUACUCCAGUACCUCCAUGUCCUUCUUGUACUGAGAUGCCCAAAACUGAACACAGUCCUCAAGGUGCGGCCUCACCAGUGCUGAGUACAGGGGGAUAAUUACUUCCCUGCUCCUGCUGGCAACACUAUUUCUGAUACAAGCCAGGAUGCCAUUGGCCUUCUUGGCCACCUGGGCACACUGCUGGCUCAUGUUCAGUCUAGCGUCAAGCAACACCCCCAGGUCCAUUUCCUCUACACAGUCUUCCAGCCACUCUGCCCCAAGCCUGUAGCCUUGCCUGGGGUUAUUGCGGUCAAAGUGCAGGACUCGGCAUUUGGUCUUGUUGAAUCCCAUCCCAUUGACUUCAGCCCAGCUAUCCAACCUAUCCAGAUCCCUCUGUAGGGCCUCGCUACCCUCAGGUAGAUCAACACUUCCAGCCAGUUUGGUGUCAUCUGCAAACUUACUGAGGGUGCACUCAGUGCCCUCAUCAAGGUCAUCAAUAAAGAUAUUAGACAGGACAGGCCCCAGCACCGACCCCUGGGGAACACCACUCGUGACCGGUCGCCAGCUGGAUUUAACUCCGUUCACUACCACUCUCUGGGCCCGGCCCUCCAGCCAGUUCCUUACCCAGCCAAGAGUGUAUCUGUCCAAGCCACGAUCUGCCAGCUUCUGCAGGAGAAUACUGUGGGAGACAGUGUCAAAGGCUUUGCUGAAGUCUAGGUAGAGCACAUCAACAGCCUUUCCCUCAUCCACCAGACGGGUCACUGGAUCAUAGAAGGAGAUCAGGUUGGUCAAGCAGGAAUUCACUGGAUAAUAAAUUGGAAAGAGUUGACUGGAAAGAAGAGAAAAUGCAUUCAAGUGAAGUGAUGGUUAAAUUGGGUUUUAUAGACCAGAGGUUGCAUAAAGAAGGCUAGAAGUCUGCAACAGAAACCAAAUGUGCAUUGCAAUAGAAUAAGCAAUGGCAUUCAAGGGAGUGGUCUAUAUGAUGUGCAGAGAUACCAUAUUGUGGCUUUGACAACUGUUCUUCAAACCUUAAUAUUCUUCUGCAUUUCUGUACACAAUACAAAUAUUUGGCAGCCAGUAUGUCAUUGUGUAGAAGGUAAAUUAGAGACAGGAUAUCAGACAGUGGAGAUGACAAUAGCAUAACUUAGAAAAAUAUAAACUGGAUGGUUUGUUUACUCACUUGCAGUCACCAUGCACCACAGUUACAAAAAUGGCGGAUGAACUGAUAUCUGCCUAUGGAAGAAAGUUCAUUUUGUUUACUGCAGAACUUCUUUUUAUGAACCUAAUUUUUCUGCUAUAUUUGUCCAUCAGCAAAUGGAGAUUUUGAGAGAAGUGGAGGGAUAAAAAACCUAAAAUAAGAUCAUGUGUUAUAUUUAUAGACAGUUCCCAAGUGCCCAGGGAAUUCAGAGGUGACAUAUACUCUGAACCCUGCUGUAGUGCUAUAUAUGAACACCAUUCUCUGGAGUUCAUUAUUCUUUCACCUUUAGAUGUCAUAUGAAUUGCAAACAUUUCUGUACUGUUUUAUGUGAAAUAUACCAAGUUCUUUGACAGAGAUACAUUCUUCUUCUGGAGAAGUUUCAGCUUUCAUCUUUGUGAGGACACUGUCAGCAACAUUUGGAGGAGCUUAGAGCAAAGAGCACAGGCAAGACAAAAAAGGAAGAGAUACUAAUGAUCAUAGGAGAGACAUAAAGAGAGACAUCCAGUAUGAAGAUCAUGAGACUUUUACAAACUUUGUACUAAAGGAAAGCAGGAGGGCUGGACUUGUGAUUGUACAAGUUGAUGAUUUCAGUGCAAGAUAAAAAUCUCACUCUUUUUAAUAUAAGUAAAAUACAGUAAAAGAUAACUAGGAAGGCUAUAAGUAUAACGAGGAUAUGUUUCAGAAUUGAUGGAUGAUUCUUUCUGUCUUUGAGAGCUUCACUGCACUGCUGGAUCACACAGCAACUUAAAGUAAGAAAAAAUUACAAUGGAAAAACCACCAUGAAAAUGGAGUAGAAAGGUGAAGAAAUUUAGAAAUGUAAUUUACAAAUGCAGAAUGUUUCUAUUUUCCAUCUGUUCAUGCAGUCACUACACAGUCCUUUCAAACUAAAGCUAAAUCUUUAAAAUAUCUGAUUUAGCUUCUACGAAACUAAAAAAAUGAGUGCCUAAUAAUCCCAUAAUCUCACAGUAACCUUUCAUAUUGUAAGGUAAAAAUGCCUUCAAAACAAAUGGUCUCAGAGGUAGCUGAAUCAUCAUAUCUGUUGGUAAAUAGGACAUGUGCAUAUGCACUCAGCUCAUUUUACUCUAUCAUAUACUGAUAUUUUAUUAGUGUAGUGUGUGUAUACAUAGCAUAUCUUUAAGAAAAGAAUUGUAGCUGAGAUCAGAGAUUAACUAUUUAGAUAAUUAGAGUCAUCUAGAGACUUAGGUAACAUUUUGCUUUGUUAUUCAAAUCAGAUAACUAUUAGAACUUUAUGGCCUUAACCUUUUAAGACUUUAAAGAAUGGCUUCUGGAAUUUAAUUUAAAAUCCAGUGAAAACAAGCUGGAAGUGUACAACUCCAGUUGUUUUAAAAGGGAUUGUAUUUUAGGAUCUACAUUACAGAAUUAGCAUGAGUUUAAAAUGUUCCUAUGGUGUGUACUUUGUAUUUUGUUAAGGUUUUUUUUUGUUUUGUUUUAUUUUUUGGUUUUGUUUUUUUUAAGAAUGCUGAUGUUUUAAUCUUUGUUAAUUUUUUUGAGCUUUACUUUAAUCUCCAAAUACAAAACAUAUAGUUCAGGUCUGUAAAUUUACCUCAAAGAACUGGAUUGAAAGAGACUAUGUUAGGGACCUAUAAAUCCUUCAUUUAGGUUUCUGUUUUUCUUCAAAGGUGCUUUAGUACAAUUAAUGUAGUUGAGUGUUCAAAAAGUGCUCAACUUCUCUCAAAAUUCUUUCCAUUGUGAAAGUCCUCAAAUAAACAAAUCAUAUAAACAGUUUGAUGUGAUUUUUGAUAAAUUGUUCAAAAAAAUAAGAAACAAUAGGUAGAAAUUAUCUAUUUCCACAAAAUAAGCAGAAUUUCAGUAUAUUCUUCAAGUAUUUACUUUUCAGCAUAUUUACUGAUGUUCCAGUAGAGAGUGUACUUCUCUCUACUGGAUAGAACAGUUAAGUCCAAAUCUGUCUGAAAGUUUUAUAAGUGAUCUCAUGUUAAACAGUAGUAGAAUGACAAAUGACAUUCAUCACUGAAGUCACGUGGAAAAAGUGACUAUAAAUUAUAUGAACUUUGACAUUAAUUUGCUCUAAACUAGCCACUAUUGCUUGAAAAAAAAUCUUAAAGACACUUACUAGAAUAAGACUUCUCAGGCUGAAGAAGAGGUGAUGGGAAAGUAAAUGACUGGUGUAAGUAAUGCAAAUUGAAGGAGAGAAGAGUUAUUCACUAUUUUAAAUAUUUAAAGAAGUAGAAGGAGGAGAAGGGGACAGAGAUUGAAUUGCCAGUGCUAAACAAAAUAUGGAGCAAUUUUGCAUGAUGAAUAGUCUGUGGGACUCUUUAUUACAAGAUGUUCUGGAAACUAAAAUUAGGAGUUUGAAAAAGAGUUUAAUAAUUCAUAAAGGAUGUAUCAGUCAAUGGCUAGUACACCAUGGUCUGGAUACAACUCAUGAUCAGGAAGUUCCUAGGAAAUUGACUGCCAAAAGGUAAGUUGAAACUAACCUUAUAAAUAUGCUGUUGUUACAUUUUUCUGUUUUCCCUCAAAACUGAUAGGGAAAACAACCUGUGAGGAAAAAUAAAACAAAACAACACAAAACAAAACAAUGAAAAAACCACAGUCUCUUCAGACCCAUCCAUUACAUGCUUCUCAUUUCAGUCAAUGUGAUUUUCCUUCCCUUCCCUUCUCUCUCCUUCCUUACUACUUUCCUUCCAGCUGAUGUGUGGGCAUGCCACUACUGUUCAGAUCCUUCACGUAAUUUCAUUUCCAGGUGUAUUUCCCAAUGAACCUGUAAUCCCAGUACUCUUCAUCUCCAAUUUGAUUUACAUUAAAACUGAAGAUCUCCUUUAUAUAUUUGGAGGAAUAUAAAAAACUUUUUUUUUAAUUAUUUUUCUAGGUAAGUCAUUAUAUAAUUUUAAUUUAAUUUCUAAGUCUUGUUUUUAGUUGUUACAAUGAAAUCACCAAAACCUUGUUCACUACUACAGCUCUUAGCCUCCUGAUAAAAACAUAGAGUUUCACUGGAUAAUGUUGUUUCUUACUCAAAAGUCCUGUGUAGAGUUAUUGUUCUUUUAAAAACAGCCUUCCUUCCAGGGUUAGAUGCAUUUGAAAAAUUAACUGAUUGAUUCAGUGUGACAGUUAUUGCUGACAAACUCAGCAUAAAUCAGAGAUCUUGUAUAUGUGCAUUACUGUUUUGCAUUUGCUGUGGAAAAAGUAGGUGUGAUUGUGAGGUAUAUUAACAAAGAUUUCCCUGUAAAGUAUUAAUGCCAAAAAAAACUGGAGGGACAUCACUGUGUAAAACCUCAUUUACCUAUCUAAAGGAAGAUGAUUUCAAACCAGAAAAGGUUCAAAGAAGAACACAGAGUGAUUAGUAAAGCCUGUUUUCCAAGAACAACAAAAGUUGUUUGUUUUAACAUAACCUGCACUUACUUUCAGUAUAGCUUACUGUGCAAUUUAAUGUCAAUCACAAAGUCUACGACUUAUUUGAAGCAAGUACGAGGAUGUUCGACAUAAAAUAGGAUAGAAAGAAUGGAUGAUAAGAUGGAGGACUAGGAAAAAACAAGUAGAUGAGAGGAUGAGGAAAUUCCUAAGAUAACCUCUGCCACAGGUGGGGAGUAGAGCAGGAGCAUAAAUAUGAAUGCAGAAGACAAGCUACAAAUCUUCCUUCUGUAAGGAGAUAACUGAGCCUAAUGCCAAGAAAGAGGUCUGUUAUUCUUCACUUUCUCUUUUUCGUGAGGAUUGUUUCAUGCUUCUCAUUCAUUAUGUCCUAAACAGUAAAUUCUGUUAGGGUGGAGGAAAAGAUGGAUUUUCUAAACAUUUUAAGUUAUAUCCUAAAUUAAAGGCUAAUUAUGCUAGCUUCAUCUUCUGCUACACAAAUUAGGAUUGAUAAAGGCAAGAAUAUGUCUACAGAAAUUCUCAAAAAUCAAGUAUGAAUACUGCAGCAGCUUAUACCUCUCUAACACCAGUCUCCUCAACUCAGAUACUUUAAAAAGGUGUUCCCGUCAGUGUAAGCUUUCUCUGUAACUGAGGGGAAAAAAAAUGCACACGUUGUGUUUAUGCUGACCUUAGAUGAAAGCAGGGCACUGUGUGCCCUAUAUUCGGUUCAUCCGAAGGCUUAAGAAAACAAUGUAGGACAUUCCUGCUUUCCAAAUAUUUAUAAAAUGUAGUCUCCCUUAUAAACAAACAAACAAAUUGUUAGAAAUAUAAGAAUUUAUAAAUAUGGGUUGCAGUUUUGUCUUUUUGUCUUUCUGUGCAGAAGCAGUAAACAUAAAUUGAUCUAUUUUCAUUAGUGAACAUCCAUAGGUAGAAAUUAAUUGUUAAAUAAACUAUCUGUGGACCAGUUUAUGUCUCAGUGUUUAAGAAUACAGACCUUUCAAAACUGUCGAGGACAGUUAUAUAGCCAUAUAUUAUACAGCUGAUCAUCAGUAUCAUGGGUGUACUUUACCUUCAUGUUAUAAGUAACAAAAUUCCAAGGGAUGAGAUUAAAGAGGUUAUAUGAAAAUUCUUAAUACUUUUAGAAUUUGUGACUUUAUAAGUAUUUUUACAGUGGAAAAACACAAGAAGAUCUUUCUAAAUGAAAGACAAUGAAAAAUCACGUAAAUAUUUCUGUACCUUAAAAGUACUUUGUUUGAAUUUUAAAAAUUACUUAGGCCUUUUUUGUGUGUGUAUGUGUUUGCAGAUUUUCUAUUUCUCAACAUUUUAAGAAAAUAUUAUGCAGUAUAAAUGCCUUAUUCUGUAUAUUAUUUAUUGAUUUAGGUACACUUACUUCCUUUGAAUACUUUCUAAACAGAACUGUUGUUUUCUGAAUUGAUUUUGCUGUCUCAGCCACACUGAAGCAUAGACACUUUUUUGGCUUCCAUCUGAAUGAACAAUUUCCUAGUUAGACACACUGGAUUUAGAGUUGGGUCAAUAAAAGCUUUACUGUGUCCUUUCUCUUUCCUCACACAACUUACAAAAGAGAACUAAAUUCCAUUCAUCCUUUCACUGGCCACUGUGGAAUCUUUAGCAAUGCAAUUCUGACUGGGAUGAGGAAACAUGGCAAGAAAUUGGAAGAAACACAAAUGAGAAUUCUUUAUUUCCCAUGCUCACUGCCCUGAAGAUCUGUUGCCACUGGGGAUGCAUGUGAAUUUCCUGCACUUUAACUAUUUGUCUCUGCCACUGAAUUGCUUUGGAAGUAUAGCACAUUAGAUAUCAAAAGAAGAUUUAGCUUAAUCCUGCUGGAUCUGAUGUGGUUAACUAAGUUAUUUGCAAAAAGACCGUUUUGAGUGGUUCUUGGCAAUCUGAACAUAAAGGUUCAUUGAACAGGUCUCAUGUGAGGAGUUCUUUUUCACUUCUGAGUAACACAAACGUUACCAUAGAUCAAUAAAGUGCUUUUACUCUAAUUUUUGUAGACAGAUGCAAAUUUCUCUUCAGAUUUUCUGGUGUACCGAAUAGUUGUUUGCAACAAUGCAGUUAAAGCAUUAAAUUUGUGUUGCUGUUGCUGUUUGCUUACUUUUCGAUGCUACAUACUGCUCUUAUAGAUAACCCUUUCAGAAUAAAUACUGCUGUGAUAAGAAAAUAUAAUCAUUUUAAAUUGUAGGCAUUCUCAAGAUAGCUUCUGGUUUCUUCUAUUUUGUGUUUCUCCAAAAGCUUCCGUAUGUAUUAUCAGCUGUACUCUCCCAGUCAUUGAGAAUUAUUCAUUCCCUCAUUUCUAUAUUGAUAUCCGAUGUG